CGAUUUCAUUGUUAGUUGCCAAGGGCUGCCUCCUGGCCACUGGCCAUUUGACGAUGAGGAGAAAUCAACUGUGACACAGAGGUCUGGUAGUAAAGCACUUACCGGAGGCAAAUCCAUACAUGGCUCUCCAUCGCUGGACAUAUGGCCUUCAAGGGUUGUGAGCACUUUCCCCGGAAUCACACUUUACAAAGUUCCCACACUUUGUAGGGAACAUAGAGGCCUUCCAUGUAGAGAAAUAUACGUAUUUAUUUAUGGUGUUACAAAGAGGCAGUCUUCAAAAGGAAACAGGAUUUCAGGUCUUAUAAUACGUUAGAAUCAACUAGUGAUUACAAAUUGCAUUCCUUAUUUAACAAACCUUAUUAAGCUCCCUGCUCUUCUAUGGAAGGUGUGCAGGCCCCCACGUCCCAAGGUCAAGGUGCGUCCGUUGUACUUGAAAGCCUGAGGGUCGCCCCCUCCAGCAGCCUAAUCCUAACCAGCGCGAGAUGAUUAC
rnacentral:lncRNA from 1 species